AAGCCUCAGGUUAUGUGUGACGACCCCCUGAAUUUAAGCAUAAA
rnacentral:rRNA from 1 species